ACAAUGUACAACUCUUAUCGAUAAGCCAUUGGAGGGCAAGUCUGGUGCCAGCAGCCGCGGUAAUUCCAGCUCCAAUAGCGUAUAUUAACGUUGUUGCAGUUAAAAAGCUCGUAGUUGAAGUGUGGGUGGUGCCUACUUCCAGACUUCGGUUUAGGAGUGGAUCACUACCCCCUUCCAGUAUCCAGUAGUGGGUAUUCACUUACUUACUACUGUGUGUUGGUCCUUUACUGUGAGAAAAUUAGAGUGUUCAAAGCAGGCGUUUGCUUGAAUAGAUUAGCAUGGAAUAAUAAUUGAAGGCUUUCGUGUUCGAUUUGAUUGGUUUGUUCAUGGAAGCAAGGUUAAAAGGAACAGUUGGGGGUAUUCAUAUUCACUAGUUAGAGGUGAAAUUCUCGGAUUUAUGGAAGAUGAACAAGUGCGAAAGCA
rnacentral:rRNA from 1 species